rnacentral:sRNA from 2 species
GACCACCUUGAUGAAGAGACUCAUGGUACUCGUGGAGAAACAGAACAAGUUGGAAACUCCGAUUCUCUCACGCAGUCAGCAUUUAUACUUUUAUAUAAAGAGAAUAAUAAGCUUGAAUGAGAGAUAGAAGUAAUUCUUAAUGAGAAAAUCAAUCAUCCCUCUUAUAAAUAUCUUAUUAAAUGAAUCAAAUACAAUUGUCUGAUGAUCUGAGAACUCACAUUUAUUCUAAAUAACUGUAAGAGGAGCAACGGAGGUAUCUAUAUUAGGAAAUAGCUACGUGGC